GACGAACGCUGGCGGCGUGCUUAACACAUGCAAGUCGAACGGAAAGGCCCUGCUUUUGUGGGUACCGGUGCGGAGAACGGGGGAAUAACCCCUUAGGUACCUGCCCAUUACCUUGGGGGAAUGUUAAGAAACGGGGGGGUAUUCCGGCCAAGGACUUCUGGCGCAUGGUUGGGGGUGGGAAGGUUUGGCGGUUGGGGAUGGACUAGGCGCUUAUCGGCUUGUUUGUGGGGUAGUGGCAUAACAAGGCUUUGACGGGGAGCCGGCCUGAGAGGGGGACCGGCCACAUUGGGACUGAGAUACGGCCCAGACCCCUACGGGAGGCAGCAGUGGGGAAUAUUGCACAAUGGGCGGAAGCCUGAUGCAGCAACGCCGCGUGCGGGAUGACGGCCUUCGGGUUGGAAACCGCUUUCGCCUGUGACGAAGCGUGAGUGACGGUAAUGGGUAAAGAAGCACCGGCUAACUACGUG
rnacentral:rRNA from 1 species